UUCUUGUGGCACUUUGUAAAUUCAAUAUUAAAAUAGGUGACCAAUGCAUGAAUGUAAUCAUUACGCUGAAUUUGGAGGCAGAAUGCUGAAGUAAAUGCCAGUUCUUCAGUCUUCACUGUAUAAAUAUCUACUUCCUUUAUUAAACAGGCAUUGGUCACCACUUGCUUUGGAUCUACUAUGUCCACCAAAGGCUCCUUCAUGGCAACAUCCCUAAUACAGGUCAUGUCAAAGCCGUACACAUUCU
rnacentral:lncRNA from 1 species